rnacentral:rRNA from 1 species
UACGGGGGGGGCAAGCGUUGUCCGGAAUUACUGGGCGUAAAGGGCUUGUAGGUGGCCAACUAAGUCAGACGUGAAAUCCCCCGGCUUAACCGGGGAACUGCGUCUGAUACUGGAUGGCUAGAGAUUGGGAGAGGGACGCGGAAUUCCAGGUGUAGCGGUGAAAUGCGUAGAUAUCGGGAGGAACACCUGUGGCGAAGGCGGCCCCCUGGUUGGAUACUGACGCUGAUACGCGAAAGCGUGGGGAGCAAACAGG